GGUUGUUGCUGGCCCUCUCGGGGGCAUGUGCACACCCACCAUCCUCAUCUCUCCACCUGUGCACCUCUUGUAGACCUGGAUAGACUUUCCGAGGCAACUCGGUCGGGAAGAUUGCUGCGCUCUGUGAGCCAGCUUUCUUUGCAUGUCCAGGCCUAUGUUUUUCAUAUACCCCUAUAGAAUGUAACAGAAUGUAUCAUUGGGCCUUGUGCCUAUAAACCUUAUACAACUUUCAGCAACGGAUCUCUUGGCUCUCGCAUCGAUGAAGAACGCAGCGAAAUGCGAUAAGUAAUGUGAAUUGCAGAAUUCAGUGAAUCAUCGAAUCUUUGAACGCACCUUGCGCUCCUUGGUAUUCCGAGGAGCAUGCCUGUUUGAGUGUCAUUAAAUUCUCAACCUUAUUAGCUUUUGUUGAUAAUGGAUUGGAUGUGGGGGUUUAUUUUGCUGGCUUCUUCACAGAGAUCAGCUCCCCUUAAAUGCAUUAGCUGGUGCCCCGCGUGGACCAUCUAUUGGUGUGAUAAUUAUCUACGCCGUGGAUGUCUGCAAUCAUAUGGGUUUUGCACUGCUUCUAACCGUCUGUUCAUUCGGACAAUACAUGACAAUUUGACCUCAAAUCAGGUAGGACUACCCGCUGAACUUAAGCAUAUCAAUAAGCGGAGGAAAAGAAACUAACAAGGAUUCCCCUAGUAACUGCGAGUGAAGCGGGAAAAGCUCAAAUUUAAAAUCUGGCGGUCUCCGGCCGUCC
rnacentral:rRNA from 1 species